AGAGUGUGCCCUUCGAGCCACCCAGGCGGCCUGAGCUGACCGGACGCCCUUGGUUUUGGUGUGUGGGGCACAGGUCUGAAGGCAAAUGUGAAGCCGGCGAAGCCUCUGUGCCGAUGUUACCAGGAGUUUUCACCCUCUCGGAAAGAAGAUUUGAAACUUCUGGCUUAACCUGACAUUUUGCUGUGGUGGUGAUCCAACCUUUAAUUGUUAAAAUCAUUUGCUCCUUAAAUGGUUAAUCCUUAAUCAUUAGAGCCCCAUCAUCAGGGAGUCUCUGUCCGC
rnacentral:lncRNA from 1 species